ensembl:lncRNA
AGGUGUCCUACAUGUGUGAGUACUCAGUAUCCUCAGCAGUGUCUGACUCUUGGAGACCCUAUGGACUGUAGCCCACCAGGCUCCUCUAAGUUGUUCUGGCUAAGUUUUCACAGGUUUCUUGGGAGACAGGUAUGCCGGAGACCAGCUCCAGCAGCCAGGGAAUCAGCCAGAAGGGGUGAGCGGUGUCGGCGGACAAUGAUGUAGCCUCUGACUCGAGCCAACUCACCAAAGAAAGGAAAGAACAAGUCAGAAUCACAAGACCUAACUCCUUCAUCCCCGGACUGUGCCUGUGAGAUGAGGAGAGGGGGUUGGGGCUGUGCCUCCAUUUUGUCAGUAAUGCUUAACAUGGCUCCCGACACAGUGACUGAGCUGAGGAUGCCCACUGCCACAUACUGCAGGUCCCAAGCUAUUUACUGCGGGCAGGAAUCCCUCCGAAGAAAUGGAGUAGCCAUCAUGGUCAACAAAAGAAUCUGAAAUGCAGUACUUAGAUGCAAUCUCAAAAAUGACAGAAUGAUCUCUGUUCAUCUCCAAGGCAAACCAUUCAAUAUCACAGUUAUCCAAGUUUUUGCCCCAACCAGUAAUGCUGAAGAAGCUGAAGUUGAACGGUUUUAUGAAGACCUAUAAGACUUUUUAAAACUAACACCCAAAAAGAUAUCCUUUUC